CCAUAUCUUAACCAGAUGAUCUCAGUGAGCUGUGCCACUACUGUGGAGAGGGAGAAGAAGCGCGAGGGGGGUCUCAAGACAGACCUGAUGCCACUGACUGGGGAUCCCAAUGAGGAGUGCAUUGCAGUAGUCCAACCUGGAGGAGACAAAGGCAUGGACGAGCUUCUCUGCAUCAGCCAGGGUGAGUGAUUGGCGGAGUUUGGCGAUGUUCCUGAGGUGGUAUAAUGCUGUCUUACAGAGGUGUUUGAUGUGGG
ensembl:lncRNA